GACGAACGCUGGCGGCGUGCUUAACACAUGCAAGUCGAACGGAAAGGCCCUGCUUUUGUGGGGUGCUCGAGUGGCGAACGGGUGAGUAACACGUGAGUAACCUGCCCUUGACUUUGGGAUAACUUCAGGAAACUGGGGCUAAUACCGGAUAGGAGCUCCUGCUGCAUGGUGGGGGUUGGAAAGUUUCGGCGGUUGGGGAUGGACUCGCGGCUUAUCAGCUUGUUGGUGGGGUAGUGGCUUACCAAGGCUUUGACGGGUAGCCGGCCUGAGAGGGUGUCCGGCCACAUUGGGACUGAGAUACGGCCCAGACUCCUACGGGAGGCAGCAGGGGGGAAUAUUGCACAAUGGGCGGAAGCCUGAUGCAGCAACGCCGCGUGCGGGAUGACGGCCUUCGGGUUGUAAACCGCUUUCGCCUGUGACGAAGCGUGAGUGACGGUAAUGGGUAAAGAAGCACCGGCUAACUACGUG
rnacentral:rRNA from 1 species